rnacentral:rRNA from 1 species
GACGUAGGAUGCAAGCGUUGUCCGGAUUUAUUGGGCGUAAAGAGUUCGUAGGCGGUUUGUUAAGUCUGAUGUUAAAGACUGGGGCUCAACCCUGGAAGUGCAUUGGAUACUGGCAGACUGGAGUGCAGUAGAGGCGAGUGGAAUUCCCAGUGUAGCGGUGAAAUGCGUAGAUAUUGGGAGGAACACCGAUGGCGAAGGCAGCUCGCUGGGACGGUACUGACGCUGAGGCGCGAAAGCGUGGGGAGCAAACAGG